rnacentral:lncRNA from 1 species
UAUAUACACUUGACGUUUUUCCCAGAAAACGUAUUUAAAGGAAAUGUGAUUUAAAUGCCAUGCUAUGCCAAUGCCUAUAUUUUAUUUUAGUAUAUGCAUUAUCAUAAUUAUGCACAUUGUCGCAUGGUGCUGUGGAGGCCAGGUAAGCUCAGGUGAGUUAUGUUUUAAUUAUGUGAAUUGUCAAUGAUGUGAUAUGUGAUUGGAUAAUGUUGAGCUCAUAAAACUGCACCUAAGGUGAUUGUGAUUUAGCCAGAGAUAUGAUACAGGCCUAUUUAUUAUGUCACAUCCGCACCAUAUGCUUACAUUGGAUCCAAUUUAGGUGCAUAGUCUUAUCGUACAGACCUUAUUUAUGGUUCCGACUCGUAGGUGACUAGCGAUUUAUCGCCCAACUAUUAUGUGAGAGUAGUAUUGAGCAUAAUUAUAUUACACCCAUUAUCGUCGUACAAACCUUUGCAUUUGGUUCCGACUCUUGUGCAGUAUAUUGCCGUAUAGGUCAUUGUAGUGACUCCGGUUAGAUUAACUCUUGAGCUAUGAAUUCAGCUGUAUAGACUAACACAGGGGUUUCGGCUAAUAUGUUAUAUUUCUAUGAAACUAUUCUUACCUGAAUUGCUUAUUCUAUCAUAUAUAGGCAUGGCAUACCUUCAAAUAUCAAUCUUGAUUGUUGAGCAUGAUUUGAGAUAUAUACAUAUUUAAGUAUUCUAUUUUUUGGGAAAAUAUCUAUAUACUUGUUUUACGGCUAGGAGUUAGUAUAUUCAAAGGAAAAUAAAGUUUUUGUGUAAAUGUGUUUUACUGACCCACUCAACUUUGUUUUUCGCUUCUCCAUGUUUUAGGUUGCUGAGUUUUGGUGGCCAUGAGGAAUUCAACGGUGUUAUGACAGAAUCCGAAAAGUAGGAUUCAUCUGAGGGUGUUGUAUCUUAGUAAUUGUCCUACUUGACUGCAACUAGAUCUUCUUAUUGCUCUGAAAGUGUAAUCAUACACUUAGACCCUCACUAGCAUCCUUUCUUAACUGGAAUUGCUAGUUACUUGGUUUAAAUUUGUUCGUAUCUUCCUUACUCUUUAUCGCUUCCGCUUGCGCUCAAGGCUACGUCACGCUCACGUGACGGCCAACACGUCUCGACUUCGAUCGGGGUGUGUCAAAUCAUGAGCUGAUUAAACAAACAAAAAAAAUUGUUAUUUUAUCUUUUAUUUAUUGUUAGGAAUUUAAAAUAUUCAGGUUAUUUUAGGAAUAAAGGUGGGUGUAGAGAUAGUAUCUCAUUGUUUUUACUUUUAAUAGUGGGUGACAAAAUAAGGUCUGGUUUGGUAUUGAGAUGAUUCUGAAAAAAAAUUGAUAUAAAAAAAAGCUGGGAGCUGUUUUUGUGUUUGGUAAACAUUCAGCUUCAG